UACGGAGGGAGCUAGCGUUAUUCGGAAUUACUGGGCGUAAAGCGCACGUAGGCGGCUUUGUAAGUUAGAGGUGAAAGCCUGGAGCUCAACUCCAGAAUUGCCUUUAAGAAUGCAUCGCUUGAAUCCAGGAGAGGUGAGUGGAAUUCCGAGUGUAGAGGUGAAAUUCGUAGAUAUUCGGAAGAACACCAGUGGCGAAGGCGGCUCACUGGACUGGUAUUGACGCUGAGGUGCGAAAGCGUGGGGAGCGAACAGG
rnacentral:rRNA from 1 species